GGCGGUGUGGCGAAAUGGUAUCGUGUGGUCCUCCUAAACAGAAGGAUUCCAGACUGAGGUUGUGGGUUCGAGUCCCAUCAUCGUCG
rnacentral:tRNA from 1 species